rnacentral:rRNA from 1 species
UACGGAGGGCGCAAGCGUUGUUCGGAAUCAUUGGGCGUAAAGCGCGUGCAGGCGGCCAUUUAAGUCGGAUGUGAAAGCCCGGGGCCCAACCCCGGAACUGCAAUCGAUACUGAGUGGCUGGAGUCCCGGAGAGGAAGGCGGAAUUCCCGGUGUAGAGGUGAAAUUCGUAGAUAUCGGGAGGAACAUCAGUGGCGCAGGCGGCCUUCGGGGCGGUGAUUGACGAUGAGACGCGAAAGCGUGGGGAGCAAACAGG